rnacentral:lncRNA from 1 species
UGUUCCUGGAUGAGGUACUCCACGAUGUUGGUGUGCCCGGUGACGCUGGCGGCCAGCAGCGGGGUCAUGCCAUAGCCGUCGCGCUCCAUGCGCGCGUGGCAGCCCAGCAGCAGCUGUAGGAUCUCCAGGCUGCCAGAUUCUGCACAGUCGUGCAGGGCGGUGUUGCCCUUGGCGCUGCGCCGGUUCACCUGUGCGCCGCGCUCCAGCAGGUAGCGCGCGAUCUCGCGGUGGCCCUUGUAGCAGGAGAUCAUAAGGCACGUGUGGCCGUGGCGAUUGGCCACCUCCAGGUCCGCCUUGUGCUCGCCCACCAGGUAGCGUACCACGUCCAGGUGGCCGUCGAAGCAGGCGGCGCGCAGCGGCGUGGAGUUGGUGCGCGUGGUGCGGUUGACCGAGGCGCCUCGGCGCAGAAGGCUACGCACCACGGCCAGGUGACCCGCGGCCGACGCUGCCCAGAGCGGCGGCGCGCCCUCGAUGGUCUCGCCAUCGAAGUGCACGGAGCCGCUCGCCUCCACGCUGGCGCCGCAGUGGUCCACCAGAUACUCCACCACGUCUAGGUGUCCACGGCGCGCUGCGAUUAGCAGUGGCGUGCCACCGCCGGCCACCUCACCCAGCAGCUCCUCCAGCUCCUCACGCCCACGGCCGGCCAGCAGCUUCUGCAGCAGCGGCAGCUUGCCGUCGUGCGCCGCAUUGUACACCGCUGUGUGCAGAUCCAUGCUGGAAGCCUCGCUGCUGGAUCUAGCCGGGCCGCCGGUCGCCAGAGACAACCUUCACCUUCUCCCGGGCUGUCAUCUUAGCGGGUCUCCGGGAGGAAUAAAAUGGCCGCCGCGAAGGGGCGAGGACAGAGUGUGCACAGGCAUGCUGGGAAAUGGAGUCCUAUGAGCGAUCGCCCGCCGAAUGAUACUGGAAUCAGAAAAGCGAAAAAACUACAUUUCCCGAAAGGGAUAGGGGGGAACCGGUGACAGGACGGCAAUUUCCGCCAAGCAAGGCCAAUGGUUAGUGCGAUCCUUGGGAAAUGUGGUGACAUACUUCCUGGUAUUGACUCUAAGGCGGAGAUUGCCGGCAGCAUGUUCUCACUCAGUUCCCAAAAGGACGUCUCUCAAAAGGGUCUCAGUUUUCAAUUCCUACCAUGCAAGUCUAUAAAGUUGUAUGUGACCCUGAGUAUUUGAUGACAUACUUCCGGUUACUGUCACUGACACAGACUCUAGACAGGGCAAGAAGUCCGAGCUUUAGCUCGAAGAAUACUGGGCGAGGUACCAUUGAAAGACUACAGUUCCCAUCAUGGAAAUACACCAUGUUUUGAGGGGCUCUGAGCAGCUUGGCCAGGUGAUAAUGUGCAUUCUGUCAUUCAUGUCAGAAUCCACAGGAAAACAUGAAGUGGGGGAAAAAGGAAUUCGCUUCCCACAGCGCCGUGGGGCACCCGCGAGACGAAAUGUAAAUAAAAAGCCUCCCUUCGUAUCGGGCAAGGCUCGGCGGCCCUUGCGGACGACCCAGGGUAGCGUGGUGCUGUACUUCCGGUUUUCGAGGUCGCGCAGGCAGGAAAUGAAUGGGCCUCCGCCUCCUUUGCGGACUACAUUUCCCAGCGGGCAACAAAGGCAACUCCCAGCCAAUCCGGAGCGAGGUGGAAGGCGAAGGGCUUCUACGAAAGGCUUGCUGACCAGCAGGGGGCGCGCGCCGAGUGUAAGAUCUUGAGCUGGCAGCGCACCCCAACUCGCCUUUAGCUAUUUGCAGAAAUGUUAGGCAGUCUCGAUUUUCACGUUAGCUUUUCUUUUUCUUUCUUUCUUCUUUUUUUAAGGAGCCACAUGCGGGGCUAGAGAGAUGGCUCAGUGGUCAAGAGCACUGACUACUUAUCCAAAGGACUCUGGUUCAAUUCCCAGCACCCACAUGGUAGCUCCCAACUGGUCUGUAAUUCCAGUUCAAGGGAUCUUACACUAAUGCACAUAAAAUAAAAUUAAAUAAAUAAAAAAUUUAAAGG